rnacentral:rRNA from 1 species
GACGAACGCUGGCGGCGUGCUUAACACAUGCAAGUCGAACGGUGAAGCGCCUUCCUUUUUGGUGGGUGUGGAUGAGUGGCGAACGGGUGAGUAACACGUGAGUAACCUGCCCCCUUCUUCUGGAUAACCGCAUGAAAGUGUGGCUAAUACGGGAUAUUCUGGGUCUGUCGCAUGAUGGGUCUGGGAAAGAUAUUGUUUCGGUGGGGGAUGGGCUCGCGGCCUAUCAGCUUGUUGGUGGGGUGAUGGCCUACCAAGGCGGUGACGGGUAGCCGGCCUGAGAGGGUGGACGUCACACUGGGACUGAGACACGGCCCAGACUCCUACGGGAGGCAGCAGUGGGGAAUAUUGCACAAUGGGCGCAAGCCUGAUGCAGCGACGCCGCGUGAGGGAUGGAGGCCUUCGGGUUGUGAACCUCUUUCGCCAGUGAAGCAGGCCUGCCUCGUUUGUGGGUGGGUUGACGGUAGCUGGAUAAGAAGCGCCGGCUAACUACGUG